GCGCAUCAGCUAGCAGUUGUUUGGAGCAAUAUUAAUAAAUUAGUCAAGGACAAACACACAAAUAUGGUUAUUUUGACCAUCUAGGUACGUAUAUAUCUACCACUACUAUUUUAUCUUCUUCUAUAUAUGAUUAGUUUUAUUUAAUUUUUUAUAAUAAAAUUUAUUAAUCACUUCCUUCUGUUUUUUCAGCAAUAUUCAAUGUUUAUUUUUUUAAAUUUUACCUCUAAUUGAAAUAUAACGUCAUUAUAUGUUGCAUGAAAGCAAUAUAUUAUCCUUUGAUCCCUAAUUUUCUGGUGCAUAAUCCUACCCCUGUUUAGGCUCUGUCUCUCUCUCUCUCUCUCUCUCUCUCUCUCUCUCUCUCUUUCUAUAUAUAUAUAUAUAUAUAUAUAUAUAUAUAUAUUCACCAUAUAUAUGAUGGUCUGUCUGUAGUUGAUUUAUUUUAUGGCCUAAAUCUGGCAGUUCUGUUACUUAUUCUAGCAUAGUUGAUGAAGAAUUGAAUUCGGUUUUUUAUAUGACUUGUCUUUUCAGUUAAAAUCAAGGUGUUGUUCAUACUGAUUUCCUUCUGUAAGAUCAAAUCAAUAGCUUUGGAGCCAAGAUGAAGGAUUUUUCAUUACAUCACAACAUCACUUGUGUUUUGGACUAGUGUUUCAAGCUUGAUUUCACCACCUUUAAACUGAAUUAAUUAAACACCCGAAAUACCUGCG
rnacentral:lncRNA from 1 species